GUGCCAGCAGCCGCGGUAAGACGGAGGGGGCAAGCGUUGUCCGGAAUCACUGGGCGUAAAGAGCACGUAGGUGGUUGAUUGCGUCGGCGCUGAAACCUGCAGGCUUAACCUGGAGACGCGUGCCGAUACGAGUCGACUCGAGGCAGGGAGAGGGUCGCGGAAUUCCGGGUGUAGUGGUGAAAUGCGUAGAUAUCCGGAGGAACGCCUGAAGCGCAAGCGGCGACCUGGUCCUGACCUGACACUGAGGUGCGAAAGCGUGGGGAGCAAACCGGAUUAGAAACCCCAGUAGUCC
rnacentral:rRNA from 1 species